rfam:Neotoma lepida isolate 417 scaffold_1434, whole genome shotgun sequence.
GGAGAAAUGGCUCAGUGGUUAAGAGCACUGGAUGUUCUCCCAGAGGACCUGGGUUCAAUUCCCAGCACCC